UACGUAGGGUGCAAGCGUUGUCCGGAAUUAUUGGGCGUAAAGAGCUCGUAGGCGGUUUGUCGCGUCUGCUGUGAAAACGCGAGGUUCAACCUCGCGCCUGCAGUGGGUACGGGCAGACUAGAGUGCGGUAGGGGAGAUUGGAAUUCCUGGUGUAGCGGUGGAAUGCGCAGAUAUCAGGAGGAACACCGAUGGCGAAGGCAGAUCUCUGGGCCGUUACUGACGCUGAGGAGCGAAAGCGUGGGGAGCGAACAGG
rnacentral:rRNA from 1 species